GGCGAGGGAGCACUUCCUCUGAACUGUGUGCCCAGCUCCCUCGCGCGUUGCUGAGCACACAGCUCAGAGGAAGAGCUCCCUCGCC